ACUCUAUACCAAGUGGCGACUCCUUUUCUAUCUAAAACCCUUUGUUUGGCUAAACCGUCGCAUUUCACAAUCUCACGGCCUUUUAUUUUCACUUUCACACACGUUCACAUACAUAUCCCACACACUACAUUUACACCUCAAAAAGUGGGGCGCGACAGGUGUGACGGCUAAGAAGAGUGAAAAAGGGAGAGCUUUCAGGCUAGAGAGAAAACUGAAAAAGUAAAGGAAAAUCGAAAGGGCGAGCGAAAGGACGGCUGAUGAAAGAAAGGGGCGGCUGAGUUUGAGAAGGAGAGAGCCGAGAGGAAGAGGGAGAGACCAAGGGACUGGGGACUGAGAAAAGAAACGGGAAAAAGGGAAACAAGGUAGAGAGAGCGAGGGUUAGCAACUGAGAGUGAUAGAUAGGGAGAUUGUGGCGGAAGAUAAAGCUGAAAGAGGAGUUUUCUAGGCAAAGAGAUCAAACAUGGAGAAGCAGUUGCGUGGAAAGAAGGAGAACAAAGCCUUCAUCCUUCGGUCACAUCAAAGCUUCGGUUAAAAGCCAAAGAUAACGUUUCUUCACUCUGGAGCUGCUUAUGGGUUGCUGGACUAUGUUAGAGUGCUGAAAGUUUUUGCCUUUUACACUUGUUUUCAUCUUCCAUGCGGGUCUAUUUUGCGAAUCUGGUUGGAGCAAAAAUUCGUGAGUAUGGUUGGGUAAAGAGGAAAGAAGAAGGGCUGUAAUCCAUGGAUGUCUGUUAAGCAAGGUCUUUCUUUAUUUGUUUUCUUGAUUAAGUUUCAUUGAUUUUUGUUGAAGUUCAAUUGGUUUUCCCGUUGUUUCUGCCCUUUCAGUUUACGGUUAAUGUGUGGGCUUGGCC
rnacentral:lncRNA from 1 species